GCGAACGCUGGCGGCAGGCCUAAUACAUGCAAGUCGAGCGGCCCUUCGGGGCAGCGGCGGACGGGUGAGUAACGCGUGGGAACGUGCCCUUUGGUACGGAACAACUGAGGGAAACUUCAGCUAAUACCGUAUGUGCCCUUCGGGGGAAAGAUUUAUCGCCAUUGGAGCGGCCCGCGUUAGAUUAGCUAGUUGGUAGGGUAAUGGCCUACCAAGGCGACGAUCUAUAGCUGGUCUGAGCGGAUGAUCAGCCACACUGGGACUGAGACACGGCCCAGACUCCGACGGGAGGCAGCAGUAGGGAAUCUUGCGCAAUGGGCGAAAGCCUGACGCAGCCAUGCCGCGUGAAUGAUGAAGGUCUUAGGAUUGUAAAAUUCUUUCACCGGGGACGAUAAUGACGGUACCCGGAGAAGAAGCCCCGGCUAACUUCGUGCCAGCCGCCGCCGUAAAAC
rnacentral:rRNA from 1 species